rnacentral:rRNA from 1 species
GAUGAACGCUAGCGGCAGGCUUAACACAUGCAAGUCGAGGGGUAUGCCGAUUUAUCGGCAGAGACCGGCGCACGGGUGCGUAACGCGUAUGCAAUCUACCUUUCACAGAGGGAUAGCCCAGAGAAAUUUGGAUUAAUACCUCAUAGUAUAGCAGUUUCGCAUGAAACCACUAUUAAAGUUCCAACGGUAUAAGAUGAGCAUGCGUCCCAUUAGUUAGUUGGUAAGGUAACGGCUUACCAAGACAAUGAUGGGUAGGGGUCCUGAGAGGGAGAUCCCCCACACUGGUACUGAGACACGGACCAGACUCCUACGGGAGGCAGCAGUGAGGAAUAUUGGACAAUGGGCGGCAAGCCCUGAUCCAGCCAUGCCGCGUGCAGGAUGACGGUCCUAUGGAUUGUAAUCUGCUUUGUACAGGAAGAAACCCUUUCACGUGUGGAAGAUUGACGGUACUG